rnacentral:rRNA from 1 species
ACGAACGCUGGCGGCGUGCUUAACACAUGCAAGUCGAACGGAAAGGCCCUGCUUUUGUGGGGUGCUCGAGUGGCGAACGGGUGAGUAACACGUGAGUAACCUGCCCUUGACUUUGGGAUAACUUCAGGAAACUGGGGCUAAUACCGGAUAGGAGCUCCUGCUGCAUGGUGGGGGUUGGAAAGUUUCGGCGGUUGGGGAUGGACUCGCGGCUUAUCAGCUUGUUGGUGGGGUAGUGGCUUACCAAGGCUUUGACGGGUAGCCGGCCUGAGAGGGUGACCGGCCACAUUGGGACUGAGAUACGGCCCAGACUCCUACGGGAGGCAGCAGUGGGGAAUAUUGCACAAUGGGCGGAAGCCUGAUGCAGCAACGCCGCGUGCGGGAUGACGGCCUUCGGGUUGGAAACCGCUUUCGCCUGUGACGAAGCGUGAGUGACGGUAAGGGGUAAAGAAGCACCGGCUAACUACGUGC